UGCUGCUCAUUGCCUUUUGCUUUACAGAAUAAACGUCUGCUAGUGUCUAGUCCCUGACUUUGUGCUGAUGAUUUGUGUCCUAAAGCUUUUCCUUUAAUAUCUGCAAAACUGUUUGUCUGCCUGUAGUGUUCCUGCAGCAUCUGACAUGACAUACUGUACUCUGGACAAUUCACCAAAAUAAGGAACAGUUUUCAGAGAUGAUGAGUACAGAUCUGCAGGAUGCUGCUACCUUGCUGGCGUGUUGCCCUGCACUCUACAGAAUGUUUAUUUGAAGAUAUCAUUGACUGGCUUUCAAAGAGCUCAAAUAAGGGAGAUUUAUAACUUGGUGAAAUUUUAAUCUUGUCUCUUUUUUUUUUAUUAUUCUUUGGUAAAGCAAUCCAUAAAUGUAUGUGUGAUCUCCGCCAUGAAAGGUGUUGAACACAAGACUGUUUGAUGAGAAUGUUCCUGAUGCUCACAGACAGAGUACUCUGUCUAGUGUUCUACUGCUUUUCUAACAUCGGCAGCUGAAUCAAGUAACAGCGUCUCUUUCCUACCUUUCUGGUCCCUGGUGUCUCUUGCCUGAGCGUCGACCUAAGGGAUUUUUCCAUAGGAUCAAGUGAAACCGCAUGAAAGGUGAUUUACAACAAGCAGCAGGUGUUCUGUACAAAGCUGUAGGCUGUUUUGAGGUGUGUCAGCACAGAAUAUGAAUAUCCAUCAUAGAUACCAUCUGUUAAUUCACUGCUGUGUCACAGAAUUCCUAGAGCCUGCCUUCUAAACUGCAGAGGAUUUGAAAGGAGGAGUUUCAAGAUGGAGAGUCUGUACAGGAAUCCCUGCAUGCAGACUGCAAGGCAGGACAGACCUCAGUGCCAGGCUGUUCUAUUUUAACAGCGAGGCCAGAAUACCCUUUUAGAGACCGCAUUUGAUUGGACCUAGUCACUGUUCAACUAACAAUUCUGUCUGGCCCCUUCAUUUGGAUAAAAUGGUGGAGUUAGAACUUCUGUCAGUGUCCUAUUGUGAAAGAUGUCAAAUUUGAUCGCCACAAAGGUUCUGUUAUCUUAUCAGAGGCAGUCUGUGUGGUAUAAAACCACUAAACCCACUAUGCAAUGUCUUAUUAAAUGAAUGACAAAAUUUA